rnacentral:rRNA from 1 species
UGAUUUAGUUUGAUCAUGGCUCAGGAUAAACGCUAGCGGAGGGCUUAACACAUGCAAGUCGAGGGGCAGCAAAAAUAAUUAAGUAACUUAUGUAACUUAUGUAUUUUUGGCGACCGGCAAACGGGUGAGUAAUACGUACGUAACUUUCCUUAUGCUGAGGGAUAGCCUGAGGAAACUUGGAUUAAUACCUCAUAAUACAAUUUUUUAUAAAGAAAGAUUGUUAAAGUUUUAUUAUGGCAUAAGAUAGGCGUAUGCCCAAUUAGUUAGUUGGUAAGGUAAUGGCUUACCAAGACUAUGAUUGGUAGGGGGCCUGAGAGGGGCGUUCCCCCACAUUGGUACUGAGACACGGACCAAACUCCUACGGGAGGCAGCAGUGAGGAAUAUUGGUCAAUGGAGGAAACUCUGAACCAGCCACUCCGCGUGCAGGAUGAAAGCCUUAUUGGUUUUAAACUGCUUUUGUAUAUGAAUAAAAAAUUCUAAUUAUAGAAAUAAUUGAAGGUAAUAUACGAAUAAGUAUCAGCAAACUACGUGCCAGCAGCUGCGGUAAUACGUAGGAUACAAGCGUUAUCCGGAUUUAUUGGGUUUAAAGGGUGCGUAGGCGG